AUUGAACGCUGGCGGCAGGCCUAACACAUGCAAGUCGAGCGGAUGAAGGGAGCUUGCUCCUGGAUUCAGCGGCGGACGGGUGAGUAAUGCCUAGGAAUCUGCCUGGUAGUGGGGGAUAACGUCCGGAAACGGGCGCUAAUACCGCAUACGUCCUGAGGGAGAAAGUGGGGGAUCUUCGGACCUCACGCUAUCAGAUGAGCCUAGGUCGGAUUAGCUAGUUGGUGGGGUAAAGGCCUACCAAGGCGACGAUCCGUAACUGGUCUGAGAGGAUGAUCAGUCACACUGGAACUGAGACACGGUCCAGACUCCUACGGGAGGCAGCAGUGGGGAAUAUUGGGAAAUGGGCGAAAGCCUGAUCCAGCCAUGCCGCGUGUGUGAAGAAGGUCUUCGGAUUGUAAAGCACUUUAAGUUGGGAGGAAGGGCAGUAAGUUAAUACAUUGCUGUUUUGACGUUACCAACAGAAUAAGCACCGGCUAACUUCGUG
rnacentral:rRNA from 1 species